rnacentral:rRNA from 1 species
GACGAACGCUGGCGGCGUGCUUAACACAUGCAAGUCGAACGCUGAAGACCUGGCUUUUGUUGGGUUGGAUGAGUGGCGAACGGGUGAGUAACACGUGAGUAACCUGCCCUCUUCUUUGGGAUAACGCCCGGAAACGGGUGCUAAUACUGGAUAUUCACUGAUCUUCGCAUGGGGGUUGGUGGAAAGGUUUGUUCUGGUGGGGGAUGGGCUCGCGGCCUAUCAGCUUGUUGGUGGGGUGAUGGCCUACCAAGGCUGUGACGGGUAGCCGGCCUGAGAGGGUGACCGGGCACAUUGGGACUGAGAUACGGCCCAGACUCCUACGGGAGGCAGCAGUGGGGAAUAUUGCACAAUGGGCGAAAGCCUGAUGCAGCGACGCCGCGUGAGGGAUGGAGGCCUUCGGGUUGUAAACCUCUUUCGCUCAUGGUCAAGCCGCAACUGUGGGUUGUGGUGAGGGUAGUGGGUAAAGAAGCGCCGGCUAACUACGUG